rnacentral:ncRNA from 1 species
CUCUUAUCCAGAGCAGGUGGAGGGAAAUGGCCCGAUGAAGCCCAGCAACCGACCGUAAUACCAUCGUGAGAUGGGGCGCCCGUCAACAGGAGGGAGCCGUGGUACAAACCACGCAAGGCACGGUGCUAAUUCCAGCAAAACAUCCCGUUUUGCGAGAUAAGAG